rnacentral:rRNA from 1 species
GAUCAUGGCUCAGGAUGAACGCUGGCGGCGUGCUUAACACAUGCAAGUCGAACGAAGCACUUGAGAUUGACUCUUCGGAUGACGUCUUUUGUGACUUAGUGGCGGACGGGUGAGUAACGCGUGGGUAACCUGCCUCACACAGGGGGAUAACAGUUAGAAAUGACUGCUAAUACCGCAUAACCCGAUAGGAUCGCAUGAUCCAGACGGAAAAGAUUUAUCGGUGUGAGAUGG